rnacentral:rRNA from 1 species
UACGGAGGGGGCUAGCGUUGUUCGGAAUUACUGGGCGUAAAGCGCGCGUAGGCGGUUAUCAAAGUCAGGCGUGAAAGCCCCGGGCUCAACCCGGGAACUGCGCUUGAUACUGGAUGACUAGAGGCCGGGAGAGGGUAGUGGAAUUCCCAGUGUAGAGGUGAAAUUCGUAGAUAUUGGGAAGAACACCGGUGGCGAAGGCGGCUACCUGGACCGGACCUGACGCUGAGGUGCGAAAGCGUGGGGAGCAAACAGGAUUAGAUACCCCUGUAGUCC